CAGGGCCUCACUGAGUUGCUUAGCGCCUCACUUUUGCUGAGAUUGGCUUUGAACUCUCAAUCCUCCUGCCUCAACCUCCUGCACCUCUGGAAUGGAAAAUGAGUUUUUUGAAGUCCUAUUUCUGGAGGAAAAUGUGACUUGACCUCUAAAAAGACUUGUUGCCUUCUAGACUGACCCCAAGCCAGAGCACCUAUGUUCAGGGCUCUAGCUUUCAGCUUAAUGAGAGUAUGGGAGGAAAGCCCCCAGGCAGGCCAGACCUUGAGUGACCUGGCCUCUUUCCCAGCCUUUCCUGGGAGGAGAAGGUGGGAGGAGGGUCUGAAUUCACAGAACACCGCUCUGUGGUCAGGAGCAGAGGGUCAUAAGAUACCAGACCCAGGGAAUUGGGGGAUUUACAGAAAGAAAUGCCCUCAGGAGACCAGAGGUAUCACUUCAAGAGUUUGACAGGAAAUCCUCUCAGUUUAGAGAGGAAAACUCAAGGGGAACUGGAAAUGUCUGUGGUCUCUGCCCAUAGCAGAGAAGCAUUGUAGGUGGAAUUCCCCAGUCCCAUGUGACACAUGAGGCUGCUAUGGGUUCCUCUUCAUCCUACACCUAACUCUGUGUCUCCCUUCACCCCAGCUCUCUGCAUUUCCUAGAUCUGAGGCUCCCCUACUGUGGUCAGCAGAAACAGUAGCACCUGUAAAUGUGUUAGAAAUGCAGGCUGGUGCCCUGGCCCAACCUUUUGAUCCAGUGUGGGGCAGGGCAUCCUCUCAUCAGGCUGAGAGUUGAUUUUCAUGCACUGAAAUUGGGGGAACUGUUGUCCUGUGUAACCUGAAGUGAGGCAGAGGACUCUGCUCACUGCUUGAUUUCCUCCCUAUGCUGCUUGGCACAGCAAGGUGGGCUGGGCCAACCCAACCAGCUUUGCUGUUGGGAAGGGUUGUCGGGACAGCUUUUUUUUUUUUUUGGUGCUGGGGAUUGAACCCAUGGCCUUGUGCAUGCAGGGCAUGCACUCUACCAGCUGAGUUAUAUCCCCAGCCCAGGACAGCU
rnacentral:lncRNA from 1 species